GGAGUGAAAAAGAACCUGAAACCGUGUACGUACAAGCAGUGGGAGCACCCUUCGGGGUGUGACUGCGUACCUUUUGUAUAAUGGGUCAGCGACUUAUAUUCUGUAGCAAGGUUAACCGUAUAGGGGAGCCGGAGGGAAACCGAGUCUUAACCGGGCGUUAAGUUGCAGGGUAUAGACCCGAAACCCGGUGAUCUAGCCAUGGGCAGGUUGAAGGUUGGGUAACACUAACUGGAGGACCGAACCGACUAAUGUUGAAAAAUUAGCGGAUGACCUGUGGCUGGGGGUGAAAGGCCAAUCAAACCGGGAGAUAGCUGGUUCUCCCCGAAAGCUAUUUAGGUAGCGCCUCGUGAAUUCAUCUCCGGGGGUAGAGCACUGUUUCGGCUAGGGGGCCAUCCCGGCUUACCAACCCGAUGCAAACUGCGAAUACCGGAGAAUGUUAUCACGGGAGACACACGGCGGGUGCUAACGUCCGUCGUGAAGAGGGAAACAACCCAGACCGCCAGCUAAGGUCCCAAAGUCAUGGUUAAGUGGGAAACGAUGUGGGAAGGCCCAGACAGCCAGGAUGUUGGCUUAGAAGCAGCCAUCAUUUAAAGAAAGCGUAAUAGCUCACUGGUCGAGUCGGCCUGCGCGGAAGAUGUAACGGGGCUAAACCAUGCACCGAAGCUGCGGCAGCGAACGUAUCACCCAAGACAACUUUACGGAGUUGACGAUUGACGGAGCGAAGCGACGUCAAAGCGUUCAUUAAAGUCGAGUUGGCUUAGGGAUACGUUCGUUGGGUAGGGGAGCGUUCUGUAAGCCUGUGAAGGUGUGUCGUGAGGCAUGCUGGAGGUAUCAGAAGUGCGAAUGCUGACAUAAGUAACGAUAAAGCGGGUGAAAAGCCCGCUCGCCGGAAGACCAAGGGUUCCUGUCCAACGUUAAUCGGGGCAGGGUGAGUCGACCCCUAAGGCGAGGCCGAAAGGCGUAGUCGAUGGGAAACGGGUUAAUAUUCCCGUACUUGGUGUUACUGCGAAGGGGGGACGGAGAAGGCUAUGUUGGCCGGGCGACGGUUGUCCCGGUUUAAGCGUGUAGGUGUGUGUUCCAGGUAAAUCCGGUUCACUUUAACACUGAGGCGUGACGACGAGGCACUACGGUGCUGAAGCAACAAAUGCCCUGCUUCCAGGAAAAGCCUCUAAGCAUCAGGUAACACGAAAUCGUACCCCAAACCGACACAGGUGGUCAGGUAGAGAAUACCAAGGCGCUUGAGAGAACUCGGGUGAAGGAACUAGGCAAAAUGGUGCCGUAACUUCGGGAGAAGGCACGCUGACACGUAGGUGAAGUGAUUUACUCAUGGAGCUGAAGUCAGUCGAAGAUACCAGCUGGCUGCAACUGUUUAUUAAAAACACAGCACUGUGCAAACACGAAAGUGGACGUAUACGGUGUGACGCCUGCCCGGUGCCGGAA
rnacentral:rRNA from 1 species